rnacentral:tRNA from 1 species
GGCCUCGUGGCCGAAUGGAUAAGGUGUCUGACUUCGGAUCAGAAGAUUCCUGGUUCGAGUCCUGGCGGGGUCG